rnacentral:pre_miRNA from 1 species
AAAAAGACAAAUCUGGUUUCCGUGUUCAACAUUUGACCAUCCGUCUUAUUUAAAAAAAUUAUAAAAAAAAUUAAAAAGAUAAGUCACGCAUAAAGUAUUAAUCAUAUUUUAUUAUCUAACAACAAUGAAAAUACUAAUUAUAAAAAAAUUUCAUAUAAGACGGACAAUUAAACAUUAGCAUGGAAAUAUAAGGUUUGUCUUUUU